rnacentral:rRNA from 1 species
UACGUGGGUGGCGAGCGUUGUCCGGAUUUACUGGGCGUAAAGAGCGCGCAGGCGGCUGGUCAAGUCCGAUGUGAAAGCUCCCGGCUUAACUGGGAAAUUGCAUCGGAAACUGAUCGGCUGGAAGGUGGGAGAGGGUAGCGGAAUUCCCGGUGUAGUGGUGAAAUGCGUAGAUAUCGGGAGGAACACCAGUGGCGAAAGCGGCUACCUGGCCCAUUCUUGACGCUGAGGCGCGAAAGCUAGGGGAGCAAACGGG